GAUGAACGCUGGCGGCGUGCCUAAUACAUGCAAGUCGAGCGAACGGACGAUAAGCUUUCUUCUUUGCUGUUAGCGGCUGACGGGUGAGUAACACGUGGAUCACCUACUUCUAAUACUUGGAUAACUUCGUGAAACCGCAGCUAAUACCAGCUCAUAUUUUCAACCGCAUGGUUCAAGAGUUCACGACGGCCUUCCUGUCUCUUUUAGAUGGAUCCGCGCUGCAUUAGCUAGUUGGUAAGGUAACGGCGUACCAAGGCAACGAUGCAUAGCCGACCUGAGAGGGUGAUCGGCCACACUGGAACUGAGACACGGUCCAGACUCCUACGGGAGGCAGCAGUAGGGAAUAUUCCGCAAUGGGCGAAAGCCUGACGGAGCAACGCCGCGUGAGUGAUGAAGGUCUUCGGAUCGUAAAACUCUGUUAUUAGGGAAGAACAUAUGUGUAAGUAAAUGUGGACAUCUUGACGGUACCUAAUCAGAAAGCAACGGCUAACUACGUG
rnacentral:rRNA from 1 species